UACGUAGGGGGCUAGCGUUGUCCGGAUUUAUUGGGCGUAAAGAGCGUGUAGGCGGCCAGGUAGGUCCGCUGUGAAAACUCGAGGCUCAACCUCGAGAUGUCGGCGGAAACCACUUGGCUAGAGUCCGGAAGAGGAGAGUGGAAUUCCUGGUGUAGCGGUGAAAUGCGUAGAUAUUGGGAGGAACACCGGUGGCGAAGGCGGCCCCCUGGACCGGUACUGACGCUGAGGCGCGAAAGCGUGGGUAGCAAACGGG
rnacentral:rRNA from 1 species